rnacentral:misc_RNA from 1 species
GAUGAAGAACGUAGCGAAAUGCGAUAAGUAGUGUGAAUUGCAGAAUUCAGUGAAUCAUCGAAUCUUUGAACGCACAUUGCGCCCCUUGGUAUCCCGAGGGGCAUGCCUGUUCGAGCGUCAUUUCACCACUCAAGCCUGGCUUGGUGUUGGGCGACGUCCUCUUUGGGGACGCGCCUCGAAACGCUCGGCGGCGUGGCACCGGCUUUAAGCGUAGCAGAAUCUUUCGCUUUGGAAGUCGGGGCCCCGUCUGCCGGAAGACCUGCUCGCAAGUUUGACCUCGGAUCAGGCAGGGAUACCCGCUGAACUUAAGCAUAUCAAUAAGCGGAGGA